GACGAACGCUGGCGGCGUGCCUAAUACAUGCAAGUAGAACGCUGAAGGCGGAGCUUGCUUCUCUGGAUGAGUUGCGCACGGGUGAGUAACGCGUAGGUAACCUGCCUGGUAGCGGGGGAUAACUAUUGGAAACGAUAGCUAAUACCGCAUAAUAGUAGAUGUCGCAUGACAUUUGCUUAAAAGGUGCAAUUGCAUCACUACCAGAUGGACCUGCGUUGUAUUAGCUAGUUGGUGAGGUAACGGCUCACCAAGGCAACGAUACAUAGCCGACCUGGGAGGGGGGUCGGCCACACUGGGACGGGGACGGGGCCCAGGGGCCUGCGGGAGGGAGCAGUAGGGAAUCGUCGGCAAUGGACGGGAGUCUGACCGAGCGACGCCGCGUGAGUGGAGAAGGUUUUCGGAUCGUAAAGCUCGGUUGUAAGAUGAGAACGAGUGUGGGUGGGGAAAGUUCACUCUGUGACGGUAUCUUACCAGAAAGGGACGGCUAACUACGUG
rnacentral:rRNA from 1 species